UACAGAGGUCCCAAGCGUUGUUCGGAUUCAUUGGGCGUAAAGGGUGCGUAGGUGGCGCCGUAAGUCGGGUGUGAAAUUUCGGAGCUUAACUCGAAACUGCAUUCGAUACUGCGGUGCUUGAGGACUGGAGAGGAGACUGGAAUUUACGGUGUAGCGGUGAAAUGCGUAGAUAUCGUAAGGAAGACCAGUGGCGAAAGGCGGGGUCUCUGGACAGUUCCUGACGUGAGGCACGAAGGUCAGGGGGAGCAAACGGG
rnacentral:rRNA from 1 species